CUUUGGGUGUGACUGCGUACCUUUUGUAUAAUGGGUCAGCGACUUAUAUUCUGUAGCAAGGUUAACCGAAUAGGGGAGCCGGAGGGAAACCGAGUCUUAACCGGGCGUUAAGUUGCAGGGUAUAGACCCGAAACCCGGUGAUCUAGCCAUGGGCAGGUUGAAGGUUGGGUAACACUAACUGGAGGACCGAACCGACUAAUGUUGAAAAAUUAGCGGAUGACCUGUGGCUGGGGGUGAAAGGCCAAUCAAACCGGGAGAUAGCUGGUUCUCCCCGAAAGCUAUUUAGGUAGCGCCUCGUGAAUUCAUCUCCGGGGGUAGAGCACUGUUUCGGCUAGGGGGCCAUCCCGGCUUACCAACCCGAUGCAAACUGCGAAUACCGGAGAAUGUUAUCACGGGAGACACACGGCGGGUGCUAACGUCCGUCGUGAAGAGGGAAACAACCCAGACCGCCAGCUAAGGUCCCAAAGUCAUGGUUAAGUGGGAAACGAUGUGGGAAGGCCCAGACAGCCAGGAUGUUGGCUUAGAAGCAGCCAUCAUUUAAAGAAAGCGUAAUAGCUCACUGGUCGAGUCGGCCUGCGCGGAAGAUGUAACGGGGCUAAACCAUGCACCGAAGCUGCGGCAGCGACACUGUGUG
rnacentral:rRNA from 1 species